rnacentral:rRNA from 1 species
UACAGAGGGUGCAAGCGUUGUUCGGAAUUAUUGGGCGUAAAGAGCGUGUAGGCGGCUUGGUAGGUCCGCUGUGAAAACUCGAGGCUCAACCUCGAGAUGUCGGCGGAAACCACUUGGCUAGAGUCCGGAAGAGGAGAGUGGAAUUCCCGGUGUAGCGGUGAAAUGCGCAGAUAUCGGGAAGAACACCUAUGGCGAAGGCAGCUCUCUGGGCCGGUACUGACGCUGAGACGCGAAAGCGUGGGGAGCGAACAGG